CGCAGAGCACCAUCCCCUGGUCCGCUUGGAUAUCUUCGCUGCCAUCCUGUGAGAUCUGAAGCGAUACCCAAAGAUGGGCUCACCCAUGUUGAAGAUUUUAAUCCGAGGACAUUUAGAGAGAGCUUUAGAAAACUAUAAUAUUAAAGAGGCCAGAGGGGCCAGGGAUUUAGCUCGGUGGUGUAAGCACCAGGUCGAUUCCUGGUACCUCCCCCCACCCCAAAAAAAUGAGAGAUCUAUCACCUCUGAACCCACUUCAGAUACUGCAAGUUGUGUUUCUGAAACACCAAAGCACACACUAGGCACGACUUUCUGAAUAAAAGCUCACUGCCUUUUGAAAAGUUCUUAUACAAAACUAAUUUGAUUUUUCUAUUUGUUCCCUGUGUUACUUUCAUUUCCCAGAAACCAAUUUCAGAGGUAAACAGUUAUCUGUCAAAUUCCCUCGAUUUAGCAAAUGUAAUAUAAUUGUAUAAUUCUUCACUGUUUCCCAAUUACUCUUCUGCUUAUGUGUCAGAUUGCUGGAGGAACACAUUUAUUCAUGACAUUAACUUGUUGAUCUAAAUCCCAGGCAACUUAGUUUCCAAAUAAAUUGACAUUUAUAAUCUUUUAACGCGAUACUACCAAUUUAAGGGACAUAUUUAUCGUGGGAAUUUAAGCACAUGGAUUUAUUUCCCUUAUUACUUUGUAGGCUGUUUUAUUUCAAUAGUUCUCAGACUAUUGCUUAUACUUUAGGGAAACUCCUUGCAAACUUAAGUAUUUUCUAUGGUCAUUUUUAACUCUCAUCAGAAAUAUCAGGUGAUGAAGUACAGAUUUUAGAUUUUGUUUGUUAUUAAUGUGAAUAGGAAGCCCAAUUGGUAUAUUUAUGUUAAGUCAAUAUAGAUACUAACAAAGUUAGCUUUCAAACGUGUGUGUUAUUAGCUUAGACUCACAAGACAUGAAAAAUAGCUGCUAAAACCAUUUGAACUACACAGCCGAGUAAGUCACAGUAUAAUAAUUCUAUGUCUCAGGAGUUGAUAAGCUUUUUGCAUCAUAUUUUCUGUCUAAUUUCAUCAAAGAAAUUCCAUGCAAAAGAUUAGGAAUUUUUAUGUCUUUGAAAUCAGUUCGGUUCAAAGACCCCCAUCCUUGUUCUCCAAGUGGUGCUUCCACCACUCGGGGAAGCAUGUUCUCCUGGAGUCACCGCUGGCGCAGACGGGUGAUGAUGACAGGAAGUUGUCAUUCUUUUCACCUCACUGUGUCACCCCAUCCUGCACCUUCUACACGAUUAAAUUGCUGUUAUUUUAUUUGAUUUACCACAGCCAUUUGGAUUGUGAAUGACCUCACUGAUGAAGAAUCAAGGCUUUAAUUUGUCAUGGAGAAAGUAUCAGAUUCAAGAGUGUAUGUUUUUAUUACUGAUUUUGUCCAGAAAUAGAAUUUCAUGCUUAUUUUCAAAAGAGAAAAAUCAACUUUGUGAAUGUUCGGCACGUAACACACCACUGUAGUUUCUUUUGCUGUUUUGAUGGCCUGUGGGGUUGUACAUAAGACCCCCACCAAGACCCGAUUUCCUACAAGUGAAUCAAUUUCUGCAAUACCAUUGAGGAAAUUAAAAACCAAUCUCUUGGCGUUUUAUUUUAUUUCAUUUUAUUAUUUUUAAGAGAAGAUCUCACCCAGCAAGGCCAAGCCCUGGGGAUGUCGAUAAGAAUUGAGUUUCCUUUCUAUGCAACUUCCUCAAGGUCAGUAUUCAACUCCGUUGUUUUCACAAUAAAGCAGCUGACCUCAUGUAACAUCUGUCGCUAUGGUGACAGUGGGACAACAGUAGCCAGCAAAGCUCCUGGUGCCUUUCCAAAUUGGCCUGCUGGAAGGCGUGGCCUGCACAGAAGCAACAGCAAAGCAUGUAAGGAAAGCCAGAGGUCUGAGAGGCCGGCCACCCGUGGGCUCUCCACAUGAGGGGCCAGAGCCUCUGCCGGGAGCAGUGUCCCUGGGCCAGCCUUGCACCUGGAGGGAAAGAGGGCUAGAUGGACACAGCUCAGCACAAACAGAGAUGUUAGGAUGUCAGGUCGUCUAAAUCGAAGUACACUUCUGAAAAGAAAGGUGAGGUGGCAAUCGAAUAAAGGCACAAGCAGGAAAGCAGAGGAGAUAGGAGAGUGCUCUCUGCCCUAGGGGAGUUAACAGAGCCCCUGUGACUAACCAGGGGCAAAGCAUUAGCUUUGCACGCAGUGACACCCAUGUGCUGGGUAGGAUUCUCUGAGCGUCAAUACAAAUAUGGAGACUUGUACGUAAGUUGCUAGCAUAGGUUAGCUUGAUGACUGUGUCUGUGUGCUGGGGGGUGAACAAGGCAGCCAUGGGCAAAUGGGGAUGCAGAAAAAGUAAGAUGAAGCAUUUCAUCACAGUUUCAAAGGUCUUUAAGAUUAUUUAAAAAAAAAAGAUGUAAAAGACAUCAACUCUCUUUAGACUUCCAAGGGGCUUAAUUAAUGAUCCCUUAAUUAAUCACUUGCUCAAAGUGGUACACGCAGACAUGACCACUGAGGCCCUGAAGUAGACUGGAAGACUCUAUGUGGGUCAUUCUGUGUCACCCCAGAGCCCCAGUAAUCCGUUCAAGGUCUUUUCCCCAUCAGUUUUCUAAGAGAGCAGGAAAGGAGGUGAGGAAGGAAGAAUGGUGGUGAUGCCAGAAUUAACUGCCUGGAGACAGACCAAGCCCAGCAUCACACUAAGGGUUAAAAACCAUCCAGUGAUUUGAGGAACUUGUAAGAGGCCUCAUUUAAAAAUCUCUUGCUUAUACAUGCUUCAGAUUUCGUCCGGCAUCACGCAAGGGAUGGAAAAAUCAGCUUAUGGACAACAAUUCUACUGGUUGCUCUAUCUGAUGUAUCGUUCUAGUUCUAGUUAUUUAUCGUAGUCUAACAAACCAUUCCAACACUUCCUGACAUAGUGACAUACUGACAAUCACCAGGAUGUCAAGGAUUCAGGAAAGCUUUAGCUGGGCAAUUUUGGUUCAAGGUCUCUCGUAGGGUACAGUGGGCGGGUGGUUUGGGGUAGUGGGAUUUGGAACAGCUGGGGGCUGGCCCGGGGUCUCUCUCUGUCCACCCACACGCAUGUGUACGUGUGUAUGAAUAACAGGUAUAGGUGAAGGUGGAAAUAGAGGUCUCUGAGAGGCUGGUUUUGCCUUGCGCAGGUAGUCGAAGUGCUGAUGUGGCAGCUGAGACCUUAGGACUGCAUUUCAGCUUUAAAAGCGAGGAUUCCAGCUGGGGAGGUAGAGGCUGCCAUAGACGGAGCUGAUUCUGAAGUCUUUGGGUGGUUACAAGUGAGCCACGCCGGCCAGGAAGGGCACUGGCGCUCCAAACCACGUGGCACUGCAGAGGGGGCCGCGGACAUCCUCAAGGAACACAAUCUGUGACGUCUGCACGUUUGUAGAAAAUCAAAGUUUCAGAAUGACAAAGGAAAACAUUUUUUAAAAAAAAGUCAGAAGACAAUGACACAGCGGGGGAAGUGUCUGCCAUGCACAUAACAAAGGAUUGGAUUUCAAGGCGCUUUGGCAGGAGUGCAGGCAAAGUGUAACCUUGAAAAGUGAUCAGAGGUGCGAACUUGCAGGCAUGAAGCCUGUUAAUCUCUAUAACCAUAAAAAAAGAAAGAAAGAAAGCCGUCCUGAAUUGAGGAUGCCCAUAACAGCCCACGGCAAACAUGAGACGCCUUUAGGGGGAAAAAGCAACUUUCCUUCAUUUUUCCCAAGGUCCAUGGCUCAUACAGCUCCCCCACAGACGAGAGGACUGCAGAGACCCGCCUGACCAUGCAUUUGCUGAGUUGUAUGUGGCCUGGCUGCGUUCCAAGGGAAGACCUCAAGGCUCAGGGAACACUGUACUUUUCUGCUAAGAGUCAUGAGGGAGGUGGCAGCUGUAGAGCAACUGGACUGGACAGAAAGGGUUAGGACCUAAGGGUCUAAGCUGGGAAGCAGCUUCCUCGAGGCCGGGCCAUUCCCGUGUCUCUGUGGGGUCCCCACUCCCUGGUGUGGGGCGGGACACCUGAGGAUGGUCACAGGCAAGAGGAGGAGGUCAGAGAGUGACCUGAUUCAUGGAGGGACUUGCUUGGGGGACAGAACUGCAGUCUCUGCCUUGUGCUCCUGGGCAAUGGGGUGGGGGCGGGGACCCGAGAAAAGUGAAGCUCAGACCUUUGGGUUUGGGGAGCUGGGUUCUGCUAGGAAAGCGCAGCCUGCCAAGGUAAAGCCUUCUGAGCUCUGACAGGGCCAGUACUGUUCUAACCUUCCCGGCCACCUGGUGAAUGUAAGUUAAGAUAAAAAAUGAACCACUGUCAUUAAUCAUUGUUAGAUUCCGAAAUGAAAAUGUUGAUAAUAUUGAACAGUAGCAGAACAGGCUGCCCCCCCGCAAAUAUGCUACUUUGGCAUAGUGUUAUUUUGAGCUGAAAGUAAUUGAGAUAAAACAAAUAGAAGGAAAACUCUCUGUCCCCUCUCCUUUUGCCUAAAAGUAGGGUAUAAGUUUGUCGAGAUAGAUCCCCUCUACUCUUCACCAAGGAUAGCGUUAAUUACUAGACACAACUCUAGACCUUAUUGGAACACCAGAGGAAUCUAUGGAAAAAAAUUCACUAAGUAGCUUGUAUUGAACAUUAGCUUCCUUGAAAUAUUUCCUUCUUACAGUUCGUAGUCCCAGAAACUCAAAGGCCUUUUAGUUUUUCUCAUCAUUUGUUGAAAACUUCAGUCAUUUGAUUGCUAUGGCUGAGUGUAUCUGUGUGUAUACAUCGUGAAUAUAUUGAUUUUUUUUUUGCUUGUUUUAUUCCUGUUAAUCAGACUGAAGUUAGAGUCCCUGCUUGAUUACCUUAGAUGUUUCCUCCUCUACAGUAUCAAAUCCUGGCCUUGAUGUGAGACACUCACACAGGCUGUAGGUGUGCUUAUAAAUUGCUAUAAUCUGGCAUUUUAAUUAAAUUAAAAAUAAGUAUGUCUUUAACAUAAUGCUUAUGCUUUCGAGCAUUUAUUUAACAAAUAAAAAUUUACAUCAAAGAAUGUUUAUUAUGCCCAUUUUCUGUUCACAAAAAUAGAAAAAAAUGGAACCUUUUUAAUAAGCUACUAGCUGAAUUUUAGCUUAUAGAAUAUUAUAUGGCUAAGUAAAAAUAAUGAGAUAUAUUUGUUUUAGGCAUAUAUCAAUAUAUGAUAAAAUGAAAAAAGUUAAAGAUAUUAUAUACAAAAUACAGAUACAUACAUAUAAAUAUAUGAGUUUAUAAAUGAUUUUAUCUGCAAAUAAUUUGGUUUGCAAGCCAAAGUUUUGGCAAAAUUUUGUUUUUGUUUGCCUCUAUAUUGGGUGAUAAACACUCCUGCAGCAAAUUUUCCCACAAAACACAAACAGCCAUCUUUUUCAGAACCAUGGAAAAAAUUAAGUUUGUGAACCAAAGUACCCCUGCACCGUCCUUUAUAAUAUUAAAAAUAAAUUGUUAAGAACUAUUUGUGUAUGCGAUUCUUGAAGUAGAGGAAGAAGCAUAGAAAGAUCCAUUUGAAACUGCUGGGAUUCACAAAGUGCUGUUAGCACCCAUUUGCAGUGAGAUUACAGGGGAAACGAUUUUACAUCAUCAACGUUUUUGUCUUUGAAAUUGUUUCUGUAACAUGCCUUCUUGGUAUUUGAUCCAAAAGACUCACAAAAAGAAAUGGCCAUCACAUGUGUGGGCUAGCCUUGCUUUGGGUACAAAUAAAUGUGUGUUGAAUGAAGAAAUAACUGUGUUAGAGCCACUGUCAUUCAAGGCAUGUAUGCAUUUCCUGCAUAAAGGAGCCUCGGACUUCUAUAGUUAAAAACCAAAGGAAUAAUAGAAUCCAGGAAGAUUGUUUGGUAACUCACGUUUCUGUUUUGAUAAAUCAGUCCCAUGUAGCAUCCAUUAUCAAAAUGAUUCUGCUCAGGAACAACAAGAACACAUGAAAAAAAGCCCUUUAUCCAGGCGAUGGAUCAAAGGCUUGAUUUGGUUCCCUGCCCAAACUGACUCAAAUUCUCACUUCACACAAUUAGAGUUCUUUAUUGCCUUUCAUUACAGAAUGCUUUCCUGAAGGAGUAGACAAUUUUUUGAGAAAGCCUAAUUUUGUAGAACAAUUUUAAAAAAUUAUAGCGCCUCAUUCAUCUGAAGAUUGCAUUGGAACAAAAUCCAAGAACAGCUUAUAGUCUGAGUCCUACUGUAAGAGAUGUCAUUAUAAAUCCACUCAUAUCUACAAAGCACCAGGUAAGAGUCUUUAUUUCUAAUCAGUAUGUGAUUUUCAUCAUCUGGUUUCAACAAUGGCUUAAUUUUUUAUGAAAAUAACAGUUUUCUUCCCGCCUGCAUUGUCAUCUUUAUUUGAAGUGUGUGGGUGUGAACUACACUCCUUCCUAAGUCAGAAAGGUAAUGGUACCCUCUUCAGUUUUGGGGUCUCUCCCUGAUGCAUCCUGUUAGCAGUGCUCCUGGAUGGCGACUUCAUUUUCCCUCAUGCAGCAAACAACACCUCUGCACGUAACACGGGCACACAUAUGAACAGCAUGUCUCCCAUACAGAGCGGGCACCUCAGACACAGAUAGUUCCUGUGAGCUGCUGUUCCUGAUUCCUGUGCAUCUGUACCCAUCCUUACUGCAGAAAGCCAUACUCCAUAAGAAACGAGAAUGAAUCUUGGGCUCCCACUCAGAGAAGUACAGAGGAAGGGGGCUAUGCACAUCUGGUCUGUGUAUCUGCAUAACAGGCUUGGGAAGAGCUCAUGGUGACUCUGAGAGUGUUUCCUUGUUUGUUUUUUUCAGUGCUGGGGAGAGAACCGAGGGCCUUGAAUAUGCUAGGUGAGAGGUCUACCACUGGGCUAUGCCUUCCCCACAACCUGAGGGGGUUUGAGAAGGUGAAAUACAUUAAAACAGGAUCUUGUGCAGACAGGGGAUUGUCUCUGGAAGAAGGAGUCUCAACCAAGGACAAAAGCUGAGGUCUUCCCACAUACACAAGCAAGCACGCAGGCUUCUUCUGGUGGUUAACAGGCUUGGAGAGAAGCUUGGAGCCCAGGGACACACAGUGCUGCAUGUUUUCUCUGGAGACAAGCAUUCUUUAGAGAGACUGGCUCUGUGGAAACUACUUUGACUCUGUAAUUAGGAAGUAAGAUAGAGAACAACAGCCCAAAUGAUGAAAUCCCAGUGUGUAAGACCCAGACCUCGGACAAUUAGCGGAGCCUGGGAAUGUGGAAUACUGAAGAAAUGGCUAUUUCCAUGGAGAGCAGUCUAAAAUAUACAGAACAGGGCACAAUGCAGAUGUCGGACAAAGAAAGAAAAUUAAGAGCAGAUGAGGAAAAAGAUCAUUCUUCCAACGAUGUUUGACUAAUGACUUUAGUAACUUCUAAUAAGAAAGAUACAAAGUCAUAGGAAAAGCACCAUAAGAUAUUAAAUUUGAAGUUUCAAUACUGUAUUAGCUGUCUUGCUGCUGAGACACAAUAUCAAUCUCCACGAUUUAAAGGGGGAGAUGUAUAAUUUUCCCCGGGGUUUCAGCACUGCAUGGGUACGUGGUUGUCUGGCCCCAAGGCAGGAGCGUCAUGAUGGAAGGACAUGGUGAAGCAUAGCCAGCAGGAAGCAGAGGAGGAACACAGGACUAGACAGGAAGGAGCAAGAUGCACCAGAACACAGGCCAAGAACCAUCACCUCCUCAGACAUGCUGAGAAGUUUGCUAUGCUGGUUUCCCAGGCAUUUAUUAGCUCAGUUACAUUGACAUAUCACAAUUAAUGGCCACAGUCCACCCCUUGCCAGCUUGACAGUCAGACACAUUUCUUUAAAUUAUACUUAAUCUCCAGAGGAAGACAAUAGCACAUUCAUAAUUCUGCCUCACAUGAUAUAACUGUCCUGUGUAUAAAUGAGAAUGCAACAAUCCCUUCCUCAAAGGCUCUUCUUCUAGUAGCUUUCAAAAGUCCAAGUCCAAGUCUCUUCUGAGGCUCAAGAUAAAUUCUUAGCUGUGAGCCUAUAUAAAAAUCAAGAACAAAUCAUACUAAUUUCAAAUUACAAUGGUAUAGGGUAAACAUACACACUCCAAAAUGAAGAAAAAACAGGAUAGAUACUAGAAUAAAACACAACAAGGCAAAAAUUAAGUCUGUAGUUCCAUACUCAGCAUCUGUGGCACAUGGUGGUGAGAUGUGUGAGAACCAAGAAGCCAACUUAUGCCUUGCCAUGAUCCAGCUGGUGCAUGGGCUGGGAGACAAGCAAAGUCCUCCCCCAACACUGUUUGUAACCAGCUGAUUUGGAGAAAUACAGGCUGAGAUGAUGGCAACUGAAUUAAAAAAAAAAACCCAAAACGACACCUUAUUGCUUGUAUUGUUUGAUUGACUUUGCAGGCUUAAAGGCAGUAGUCUGUGCAUCUGUUUAGAGGAUAACAACAUGCAAUACAGCAGGUGUCAUGGUUUAUGUCUGUGGCCCCCAGGCCUCAUGAGUUUGCAUUGUGCAUUUGUGAUUGGUUCAUUGUCUAGUGCUUGGAUUGAUGGUGUCAGUGCUCCACCCACAAAGGGGUGGAGCCAGGAUGUAAUGUAAUGGCAGGAAGAAGGUGUGUCUUGCUCUUUGCUGGUUCCUGCUUGUUGUUUACAGCCGCCAUGAACUGCGGCCCAGCCAUGCCCGCCUGCUUUGGAGCCAACUGAGUGUGGACUGAAACCUCCAAAGACUAUAAGAAAUAAACCUUUCCUUUCUCAACUUAGGCUUCAGGUAUUUUGUCUUAGCGACAAGUAAAAAGUAACUAAGACAGCAGGUAUGGGGGUUUCCUUCUGUCUUGUUUUUGAAAUCCAAUAUUGGUCUCACUGUUUUAUUGUUUUGUUUAAUUUCCUUAAAAAGAAGUCAGCAUUAUGUAGAUAAUGCCAAGGUCUGCUGGCCACAGGAACAGUAGCUAGGCCCCAUUAGACUGUGGUUGUAACCUCCUCCAAGUGCCUGGAUGACUGAGCUCAGGGAAAUGAACUCUCAGGGAUCAAUCAGUUCUCUAGGAGGCCUUUCUUAAGCAGGCACCCCCUGGGCUCUUUCCUUAAAGGAAAAGUUUGCUUUGCACCUUUGAGCUUGUGAUGGAUGGAAUCUUGCUAAUUUCUUGUAUGUCCUCAUGCAUCGUUCUUCUUGUCCCUGUACAAAGUACUUCUUAAAAAUUAUUAUUAAUAGUGAUGAUCUCUGACUACCACAGCAGCUUUGGCCCCAUCUUUACACAUGGUUACUUCUGGGCCAGUUUAUGUUUUUCAUAUUUUUCUGCUCUGCAUUUUGCCUCCAAUUCCCACUAAAAGUCUGGCUAAAAGCAACCAGUGUACUCAUGCCACAUCCUGAAUGUUGGACUACUUUAAACUUUGCCUACCAGAUCAGGCAUGGUGGCACACACUGUAAUCUUAGCACAGGAGGCUGAGGCAGGGAGAUUCUCAUGAGUGCAGGAUGCUGAGGCAGGAGGAUUCCAAGACAAAGGCCACCUGGGCUACAUAGUAAGUCUGAGACCACCCUAAACUAUGUAACAAGAGCCUGUCUUGAAAAAAAUUUUUUUUGUCCACCAGAUCAAUUAGUCCCCCACCUUUAAUGUCAAUAUCUUGCUAAGUCUCAGGACAUAAGCAAAAUGUAGACUUUUUUUCCCUUAGUGUAACACAAAAAGCUUGUAGUGCAAUUGCCAAUGGGACUCUGCUUCCCAAAUGAAGCCUCCUGAGCCUGGCCUUGACUGUCCACACAGUUGUCAGCAUUUUGGCCUUCUGCACUCUGGCCAGCAUAGGCUUUCUGCAGCCCAAUUCUCCAAACUUUCCACACUUGUCCUGAAAACCAAUUCCAAAGGCUUCUAAACCACAUGGUCAAGUACAGGCAUACAAUGUCUACCAAUUGUCCGGGCCUCUGGGUAAGUCCACAGAGACCCUAGAGGGGAAGCGGGGAUGAAAGGGGACAAGAGACGCAAAGAAUGGAGACAAGACAGAAGUCCAAUCAAGUCUCAUUUAUUCAAGGAAAAAGUAACAAAUAUAUAGGGUAUUAGGGAGGAGGGAGUUGGGUUCUGAGAUGUCAGUAGGUAACUUAGCAACAGUGGCAAGACUGAGGGUUAUAGGUUAAAUCAAAUUUUCAAAUUUCCCGUGCAGCUCAUAAGCAUAAUCCCUGAAUGGGCCAAACAAGGUAGGCAAGGAGCUGCUUAACUACCAAACUUAACUGCUAGAGGGCGUUAAGGUGGCGCAGCCUGCAGACAUAAGGUGAAAGCCAAUUACAGGGCUUCCCACAACCAAUCUUUGCAUUAGUCAGCUUUUUUCAUUACUGAGACACAACCCCAGCACCCACCUUAAAGGAGGAGAGGUUUCAUUAGGCUCGUGGUUUCAGGACAGUCAAUUCAUGGGCAGCUGGCCCCAAGGCAGAGACAUCACGGUGGGGGGUGGGGGGGUGGAGCAAAGAUGCUUGGUUUGUGGUGACUGGGAAGCAGAACAGGAACUGCAACAUAGAGGAAGGGCCAAGGGCCAUGCAUAGUACCCAUAGUCAGGCACCCACGACCCACACAGACACACCCACAACGUGUUUUAGUAGUUCCCCGGGUCUUCUUAAUUCAGUCAUGUUGCAUCUCACAGAGGCUCUUGACCAUUUAGAUACAUUCAUGGUUAAAUGGCCUAAGUUGCUUUAUGUAAUUGUCUUUUGUUUGUGUAGACUUAUGCAUUCUUAUCUCUCUCCUCAGGUUUGGAUCCAAUGGAGGCCGUCUCUGGCUCAGAGUACUGUAGGCUCCAAUUACAGAAUUAUGGCCGUUGGUACUCCAACAGACUUCAGCCCCAGGUUUCAGCGCUCCUUAGAGCUCCCCUUGGAAUGGCCAUUAUGUGGCUUUCUGGUGCAUUCCUAACAUAGGUACAUGAGCCGAGCCAGAGAAUGCAGGGAUGUUUUUAGAGAUGGUCACUACCCAGGCUAUCAAUUAUUAGCGAGCUGAUUAAUUAAGGAACUAAGGCAAAAAUUCAACUAGAAUCACAUAUAAAAUUUUUUCUCAUUACUACUUACCAAUAAAAAGGAAUGCAAUGACAAUAAUAAUCUGGUUGGAUCUCAGAGAAUUUUGCAGAGUGGAAAAAAGCCAAUCCCAUAAGGUUACAAAUAGUACGAUUUCAUCAUAUAACACCCUAGAAAUAACUAAGGUUAGAUUAUGUGCAUAGUCAUUUCAGGGUUUAGAGAUAGGGGCAAGAAAUAAUUCGGCUAUGAAAGAACAACAAAAAAAGAGCCUAUGGUGACAAAAGAAGGCCGUCUCUUGACUGUCAGUACCACCAUGGCCAACUCAUGACCUUAAACCAUGAAUUUACAAAACGGUACCAGGAGGGAAUGUGGCUGAGGGUGUAUGGGGUCUCUCUAUAUUACAUGAAGGUAUAAUUACCUCAAAAUAAAAGAAUUUUUUUCAGGCAUGAAUACAUUCUCCAAGGAAAGGUUUUACAAACUCAUAGUUUUUAAUAAAUUCCAAUUUGGUCGCAGACCUGGAAUCUGACUUUUACCUAAGAAACUAGGUGAAUCUGAGGCAGAGUGGCCUGCUGCACACACUUGGAGACAAGUUGCUUUAGGAAAUGUGGGCUCCUGAGCUAAGCAAUUUGUUGUAAAUUAGUGGGCAAACCAGUGAGAUUUCACAGCAGAUACUGCCUGUGACUGAGAUACAGCUGUGUGCAGGCAGAGUUUCCUUGGCCUCGUUGUCUUGGUCCUUUGGGCUGUUGUAAGCAUUUCCCACACUGUGCAAAGAUCUCUUCUUAAGGAGGUGGGAAAAUCAGUCUGAAAUAAAUAUAGAAAAGGAGAACAUGGAACUUUUUAUUCAUGAAGAGUAAAAAUAAUACCCUGAAUUCAGCUUUGCCACCAAAAUGAGUAAAUCAACGGAAAUAAAAGCUAAACUAGACAGAAAAGCACGCCAGCAAAAGGAGGCUGCGGGAAUUGUGAAAAAGUCAGCAAAACACACCAUCGAGAGAGAAGCAGGCUUCCAGGUACAGGGGUGACCUGAAGGCCCCCAGACCUCUUCUCUUUGUGGGGGUGCUGUUUUAGCCAUGGGUGUAACCCUAAGCGUUCAUGUGUUCCUUUUUUAUUUUCUGAGUAUAAGCUUAUGACAGAGAAAGAGUUUUGGGUUCACCUGCAGAAAUAAGAAACGCAUGCACUUCUGAAAAAAACAAUUCAUACAAGAGCCCAGCGUAGGAAAUGUAUGGAGCUCUUGUUUCUCCUGGGUUUGCUGAGCAUGGAAAUCCCAGAGAUUUAUCCUGCUUCAACUCUAAGUCUGCAGUGGAUUCUUCUUACCUUCUAGUCCCCACAAGAAGACUCAUACCUGCUUCUCAAGGUCGGUUCACUGCACGAGCGUGCUGACUGCUGACAGGGGCAGUGCAAGACCAAAUUCAAGCUGGGGUGCGGGCUUCUUAGAUACUGGAAGAGGGCUGGGGCACACCCAGAUGAGCCCAAACCAAGUGGAAGAGCAGGCAAAGUUGGGCUCCCCACCAAGGUGAGAGCCAGAAAGCAGAACGUCCUGGCAGCCCCAGGCCUGGGCUGCAAAGAGAGCCUCAUCUCCUACAGUGGAACCGCCAGGAGCAUCACAAUGUACGGAAGCUGCUGAGCAGAGUUAGCGGUGCCUGCACUAUGCAUGGCUGAGGGGUUUUAUUAUUAUUAUUACUAUUAUUGUUAUAUUUUGCAGAGUUUCAAAUGAGUUUUGCAUUCCAAAUGAGGAAUAACUGUUUUUCCCCUGUUCUGCCUCUGUAAAUCUUAAAUUUUUCAUCAUAAAAACUUCUUCAGACCAGUGAAGAAUGACUUUGCCUUUUGUGAUUUUUUUUUCACAAGCACUGCGCAGAUAUUUAACAAAUAGGAAAGA